AGCUGGACUUAACCUUUAACCUGUCACCAGCCCGCCCACUCCUAUCACGUUGUCUCUGUGGCUGCUCGUUAGCAACUUGUCCAAAUUGUUUGCGCCAUGUAAUUUAUUACCGAGACAAGAAAAGACACAGGAGAAAAAAUAUGGAAAACAAUAUAAGUUUAAUGGGUGAAAUCAAACUAGCUUGGCUAAAGUAGCUGGAUCUUCCAAGCGGCUACUCGAACCAAAUAUGGCGGACGGACCCAAUUAAAACUGGACCGCAACAUACGACGGUUGGCUUUGUCAGUUAUACCUUUGCUGAAACCAUUGACGCUACCGCUACUCGCGUUAUUGUUAGCAUGGCAGCUACCAUGCUAACAGUUUGCUUCAGGACAGCUACUUUGUGGAGGACAUGGUGCAAAAUGUCCAUAUCAACCGUCGCCAGUUGAGACCGGAAGUGGACUUUCCUGUCCACCUGCUGGCACGCUGAAGUCUCCCCUGAGGAUUUAUGACACAGAUCUGCUGUACCGUGAGUCCAGAAAGGCAUCAGCAACUGCAAGAUCCUGAAGGCUUCCUCAGAGUUUGAUCUUGAUGUGCGGCUCUCUGGGAAGAUGUACAAAUGCUCACAGCCGGUCAGAUAGCGGAGCUGAUGCCUCUUUUGGCACGGCCUCAGCAUGUGGGUCAGCGUAAGUCGGAGUCAUUACCCUGGGGGAAUCUGCUAAGUGGCAUUUUCAGGCUCCACAGCACAGAGUUGUGCUGCAGACUACUGUGUUCCCUCUCUUGAUGUCUGACACCUCACAGUGCGGCGUUCUCUGUUUGCCGUUCAAGACAAAGAGGGACUCGGCUGACGGCGUCACCAGGUGCUGUCCGAACAACC